rnacentral:tRNA from 1 species
AGGGGUUUGGCUCAGUGGGAGAACAUCUGUUUUGCAUGCAGAAAGUCCCCAGUUCAAUCCCUGACAUCUCCGG